rnacentral:rRNA from 1 species
UACGAAGGGGGCUAGCGUUGUUCGGAUUUACUGGGCGUAAAGCGCACGUAGGCGGAUCGUUAAGUCGGGGGUGAAAUCCUGGAGCUCAACUCCAGAACUGCCUUCGAUACUGGCGAUCUAGAGUCCGGAAGAGGUGAGUGGAACUCCUAGUGUAGAGGUGGAAUUCGUAGAUAUUAGGAAGAACACCAGUGGCGAAGGCGGCUCACUGGUCCGGUACUGACGCUGAGGCGCGAAAGCGUGGGGAGCAAACAGG